AGCAAUUGUGUGGCUUUUCUUUGUGUCCAGCUAGUGGACAAAGACUUUAAAAGGCAGGUGCUAAACAAAUACUCUUUUGUAACUAGGAUUUCUUGUGCUGUGUGCGUUUUGGUACAUACAAGAGGGGAUAUG